UCCGUAGGUGAACCUGCGGAGGGAUCAUUAAAGAGUUAAAAACUCCUAAACCCAUGUGAACCUACCUUUGUUGCCUCGGCAGGUCUGCAACUUACCCUGAGGGUCCCUACCCUGUAGGGACCUUACCCGGUAGUUGCCGGCAUAACCUGCCGGUGGUCUACUAAACUCUGUUUACUAGUUAUUCUGAAUAAUAUAACUAAAUAAGUUAAAACUUUCAACAACGGAUCUCUUGGUUCUGGCAUCGAUGAAGAACGCAGCGAAAUGCGAUAAGUAAUGUGAAUUGCAGAAUUCAGUGAAUCAUCGAAUCUUUGAACGCACAUUGCGCCCAUUAGUAUUCUAGUGGGCAUGCCUGUCCGAGCGUCAUUUCAACCCUUAAGCCCUGUUGCUUAGCGUUGGGAGCCUACAGAUACCCUCUGUAGUUCCUUAAAGUUAGUGGCGGAGUCGGUUUCACACUCUAGACGUAGUAAAUUUUAUCUCGCCUAUAGAUGAGCCGGUCCCUUGCCGUAAAACCCCCUAAUUUCUAAAGGUUGACCUCGGAUCAGGUAGGAAUACCCGCUGAACUUAAGCAUAUCAAUAAGCGGAGGA
rnacentral:rRNA from 1 species